GUUUAGGGUAACUGUUCUGACUGUAUCGCUUCGGGUAACGAUAAGGACUGUAUCGUUUAGGGUAACGGUACUGACUGUAUCGUUAGGGUAACUGUACUGACUGUAUCGUUUAGGGUAACUGUACUGACUGUAUCGUUUAGGGUAACUGUAC